rnacentral:rRNA from 1 species
GACGAACGCUGGCGGCGUGCCUAAUACAUGCAAGUCGAGCGCAGGAAAUCAUCCGAACCCUUCGGGGGGACGUUGAUGGAAUGAGCGGCGGACGGGUGAGUAACACGUAAAGAACCUGCCCUCAGGUCUGGGAUAACCACGAGAAAUCGGGGCUAAUACCGGAUGGGUCAUCGGACCGCAUGGUCCGAGGAUGAAAGGCGCUGCGGCGUCGCCUGGGGAUGGCUUUGCGGUGCAUUAGCUAGUUGGUGGGGUAAUGGCCCACCAAGGCGACGAUGCAUAGCCGACCUGAGAGGGUGAUCGGCCACACUGGGACUGAGACACGGCCCAGACUCCUACGGGAGGCAGCAGUAGGGAAUCUUCCACAAUGGACGAAAGUUUGAUGGAGCAACGCCGCGUGAACGAUGAAGGCCUUCGGGUCGUAAAGUUCUGUUGUAAGGGAAGAACAAGUGCCGCAGGCAAUGGCGGCACCUUGACGGUACCUUGCGAGAAAGCCACGGCUAACUACGUGCCAGCCGCCGCCGUAA